UCAAAUGUUUGUACAAUGGAGUCAGUCCCCUCAUUGAACAACAGACCAUACCAAAAUCUAUCCCAAAUUCUCCAAAAAAAAACAAAACAGAGAAAGGGAAUGAUAAAUGAAAAAAGACACGUUCAGGAAGAAGUAACAGUCUAGAAAACACCAAUCCAUUGCCAAGUAUUAUGUUCUUCUCUCCUAAACAAUUCAUAUGCUUCAAAAUUCAACCAUACUAAACUACACAGACUAAAUUACUCUGCAUACCUUUGACAUUAGUUGAAUGCGCUUGGCAUGUGGACCAAGAACCUUGCGAACAUUGACAAGAUCUGAACCCUUACGCACAAACGAAAGCGCUAUCAUAUCAAUGUUAUUAGGAACACCCCACUCUAGUAUAUCUUCUUUAUCCUUCUCUGUAAGUGUUGGAAGGUCCACAACCACACCUGGAAGGUUUACAUUCUUCCUCUCUCCUAAGGUGGCAGUAUUCUCGCAGCGACAUCUCACCGUUCCAGACGGUGGAUCACAUGACAAAACAGUAAGGGUUAUGGUACCAUCUGCACACAAGAUGGUAUUGCCGGGCUUCAAGUCCACUACCAACU
rnacentral:lncRNA from 1 species